UACGGAAGGCAGCAGUGGGGAAUUUUGGACAAUGGGCGAAAGCCUGAUCCAGCCAUGCCGCGUGCAGGAUGAAGGCCUUCGGGUUGUAAACUGCUUUUGUACGGAACGAAAAGACUCCUUCUAAUAAAGGGGUCCAUGACGGUACCGUAAGAAUAAGCACCGGCUAACUACGUGCCAGCAGCCGCGGUAAUACGUAGGGUGCAAGCGUUAAUCGGAAUUACUGGGCGUAAAGCGUGCGCAGGCGGUUAUAUAAGACAGAUGUGAAAUCCCCGGGCUCAACCUGGGAACUGCAUUUUGUGACUGUAUAGCUAGAGUACGGUAGAGGGGGAUGGAAUUCCGCGUGUAGCAGUGAAAUGCGUAGAUAUGCGGAGGAACACCGAUGGCGAAGGCAAUCCCCUGGGACCUGUACUGACGCUCAUGCACGAAAGCGUGGGGAGCAAACAGGAUUAGAUACC
rnacentral:rRNA from 1 species